GAUGAACGCUAGCGGCAGGCUUAAUACAUGCAAGUCGAGGGGCAGCGGGGGUAGCAAUACCUGCCGGCGACCGGCAAACGGGUGCGGAACACGUACACAACCUUCCUUUUGGUGGGGAUAGCCCAGAGAAAUUUGGAUUAAUACCCCAUAGUAUUGUACUGAAGCAUUUUGGUAUGAUUAAAGAUUUAUUGCCAGAAGAUGGGUGUGCGUCUGAUUAGGUAGUUGGUUUGGGGUAACGGCCCACCAAGCCUACGAUCAGUAACUGGUGUGAGAGCACGACCAGUCACACGGGCACUGAGACACGGGCCCGACUCCUACGGGAGGCAGCAGUAAGGAAUAUUGGUCAAUGGACGCAAAGUCUGAACCAGCCAUGCCGCGUGGGGA
rnacentral:rRNA from 1 species